CCUAUCAUUUGGUCAUCUUUCAAUAUCCAAUUGAACAUUAUUUAGCCAUUUUUCAGUAAAAAAGGAACUGCAUAUCAGAUGACUCAGUUACAGCAAAAGAUCUACAAGAAGAAAAAAAACUCAAAUUAGUAACAUAUUAUCAGACAAAUAUUGAACUGUUGGAUGGAGACACUCCGAGGUCGAUUCCGUCUCAAACCGAGGUUCCUACCCUUACCAUGACUAACCUCCGAUUGAGAUAAGACUCAUCCAAGCCGAGAAGCAGAAAGGGGUACGGAUACGACGUAUCGAGGAAUCCCCUUCACCGCCAAUAAAUCUCUCUUCCCUAUCUCUCUCUACAGGGUGAGGUUCCGAUAUUUGGAAUACCACGCCGAUCACCUUCCAUGGUCGCGUUUGGAACGACGACCGUCUAGAUUGAGAUGUCUAUAGCCGCAACAUCGGUGAAGGAAAAGCUCAGAGACAGGCAGGGGAAGCGCAAACAAACGAAUUCUCGAACAAACAUAAAGAAAGAGGCGAUGCAACAGCGUGAGAAGAAUAGCGUCGUUACCGAGGCCUCCGAAUAGGAGUACGAGGGCGAGGAGACGAAGAAAGAAGAAGGGGGAAGCCGACCAUCUCCUCCUCGUAGUUCUUCUCCGGGACGAGUAUGUGGUGGCGAAAGGAAACUUUCGGGAUAAGAGAUCGAAGUCUGUUGCCAUCGUACGCCGAUGGGCUUUACGUUGG
rnacentral:lncRNA from 1 species